rnacentral:rRNA from 1 species
AUCAACUUUCGAUGGUAGGAUAGAGGCCUACCAUGGUGGUAACGGGUAACGGGGUGUUAGGGCACGACACCGGAGAGGGAGCCUGAGAAACGGCUACCACAUCCAAGGAUGGCAGCAGGCGCGCAAAUUACCCAAUCCCGACACGGGGAGGUAGUGACAAUAAAUAACAAUACGGGGUUCUUUCGGAUUUCGUAAUUGGAAUGAGUACAAUUUAAAUCUCUUAACGAGGAACAAUUGGAGGGCAAGUCUGGUGCCAGCAGCCGCGGUAAUUCCAGCUCCAAUAGCGUAUAUUAAAGUUGCUGCAGUUAAAAAGCUCGUAGUUGAAUUUCGGGACCAUCAUGUCGGUCGUGCCUCGGUACGUACUGGCAUUGUUGGUUUCUCCCUUCUGACGAACCAUGAUGUCAUUUAUUUGGUGUUGUGGGGAAUCAGGACUGUUACUUUGAAAAAAUUAGAGUGUUUAAAGCAGGCUCACGCUUGAAUACAUUAGCAUGGAAUAAUGAAAUAGGACGUUUGAUUCUAUUUUGUUGGUUUCUAGGAUCGACGUAAUGAUUAAUAGGGAUAGUUGGGGGCAUUAGUAUUCAAUUGUCAGAGGUGAAAUUCUUGGAUUUAUUGAAGACUAACUACUGCGAAAGCAUUUGCCAAGGAUGUUUUCAUUAAUCAAGAACGAAAGUUAGGGGAUCGAAGACGAUCAGAUACCGUCGUAGUCUUAACCAUAAACUAUGCCGACUAGGGAUCGGAUGAUGUUAAUUUUUUAAUGACUCAUUCGGCGCCUUACGGGAAACCAAAGUGUUUGGGUUC